rnacentral:rRNA from 1 species
UAUCAUUAACUGAAUCCAUAGGUUAAUGAGGCGAACCGGGGGAACUGAAACAUCUAAGUACCCCGAGGAAAAGAAAUCAACCGAGAUUCCCCCAGUAGCGGCGAGCGAACGGGGAGCAGCCCAGAGCCUGAAUCAGUAUGUGUGUUAGUGGAAGCGUCUGGAAAGGCGCGCGAUACAGGGUGACAGCCCCGUACACAAAAAUGCACAUAUUGUGAGCUCGAUGAGUAGGGCGGGACACGUGGUAUCCUGUCUGAAUAUGGGGGGACCAUCCUCCAAGGCUAAAUACUCCUGACUGACCGAUAGUGAACCAGUACCGUGAGGGAAAGGCGAAAAGAACCCCGGCGAGGGGAGUGAAAAAGAACCUGAAACCGUGUACGUACAAGCAGUGGGAGCACGCUUAGGCGUGUGACUGCGUACCUUUUGUAUAAUGGGUCAGCGACUUAUAUUCUGUAGCAAGGUUAACCGAAUAGGGGAGCCGAAGGGAAACCGAGUCUUAACUGGGCGUUAAGUUGCAGGGUAUAGACCCGAAACCCGGUGAUCUAGCCAUGGGCAGGUUGAAGGUUGGGUAACACUAACUGGAGGACCGAACCGACUAAUGUUGAAAAAUUAGCGGAUGACUUGUGGCUGGGGGUGAAAGGCCAAUCAAACCGGGAGAUAGCUGGUUCUCCCCGAAAGCUAUUUAGGUAGCGCCUCGUGAAUUCAUCUCCGGGGGUAGAGCACUGUUUCGGCAAGGGGGUCAUCCCGACUUACCAACCCGAUGCAAACUGCGAAUACCGGAGAAUGUUAUCACGGGAGACACACGGCGGGUGCUAACGUCCGUCGUGAAGAGGGAAACAACCCAGACCGCCAGCUAAGGUCCCAAAGUCAUGGUUAAGUGGGAAACGAUGUGGGAAGGCCCAGACAGCCAGGAUGUUGGCUUAGAAGCAGCCAUCAUUUAAAGAAAGCGUAAUAGCUCACUGGUCGAGUCGGCCUGCGCGGAAGAUGUAACGGGGCUAAACCAUGCACCGAAGCUGCGGCAGCGACACUAUGUGUUGUUGGGUAGGGGAGCGUUCUGUAAGCCUGUGAAGGUGUGCUGUGAGGCAUGCUGGAGGUAUCAGAAGUGCGAAUGCUGACAUAAGUAACGAUAAAGCGGGUGAAAAGCCCGCUCGCCGGAAGACCAAGGGUUCCUGUCCAACGUUAAUCGGGGCAGGGUGAGUCGACCCCUAAGGCGAGGCCGAAAGGCGUAGUCGAUGGGAAACAGGUUAAUAUUCCUGUACUUGGUGUUACUGCGAAGGGGGGACGGAGAAGGCUAUGUUGGCCGGGCGACGGUUGUCCCGGUUUAAGCGUGUAGGCUGGUUUUCCAGGCAAAUCCGGAAAAUCAAGGCUGAGGCGUGAUGACGAGGCACUACGGUGCUGAAGCAACAAAUGCCCUGCUUCCAGGAAAAGCCUCUAAGCAUCAGGUAACAUCAAAUCGUACCCCAAACCGACACAGGUGGUCAGGUAGAGAAUACCAAGGCGCUUGAGAGAACUCGGGUGAAGGAACUAGGCAAAAUGGUGCCGUAACUUCGGGAGAAGGCACGCUGAUAUGUAGGUGAAGUCCCUCGCGGAUGGAGCUGAAAUCAGUCGAAGAUACCAGCUGGCUGCAACUGUUUAUUAAAAACACAGCACUGUGCAAACACGAAAGUGGACGUAUACGGUGUGACGCCUGCCCGGUGCCGGA